rnacentral:rRNA from 1 species
UACGGAGGGGGCUAGCGUUGUUCGGAAUUACUGGGCGUAAAGCGCACGUAGGCGGCUUUGUAAGUUAGAGGUGAAAGCCCGGAGCUCAACUCCGGAAUUGCCUUUAAGACUGCAUCGCUUGAAUCAUGGAGAGGUGAGUGGAAUUCCGAGUGUAGAGGUGAAAUUCGUAGAUAUUCGGAAGAACACCAGUGGCGAAGGCGACUCACUGGACAUGUAUUGACG